AUGUUACAGGCGCCGUCUGAGAAUAAGUAUUGCGUUUAGUGGGGGCACAAAGUAGGAGCAGGAGUUGGAGGGGAAAGGGCGGGAAAGUUUCCCACCACCUGGAGCUGUUUGGGGGAUGGAAGUGGCAACGGGGAGCUCUCCCAUACACCCUUAGGUCUGCUAGCCAGCCUUCGGUCCUGAUGGUCACAGGCUCUCUGCCUGCCCUGUCUGGCCGGGCCCAGCUUCUGGGGCGGGGAUGGAGUCCUCCAGGCUCCCAGGAGAUGCUGAGGACAUCAGCUUGUCAGUAUCCUAAUUGUCCGCAGCGGGGACUGUGUGUGUCAACAAGGGAACAGAGCCGCCCGGAGGCAGGCCAUGCCUUCCGUGGCACAGCCUCGCCCAGGGAAUCCCAAAUAGAUGUUGUCUUCCACAAGACCUAUGUUUAUCUAAGAAAUGCUUCAACCUGGGGAGAAAAUAAAUAAUAAGUAAAGAAACCAUCCAUCCAUGGCCAGAGACCUGAACAUUGCCCGGGAGAUCCAGCUACGUUUGUCCGGAAAGCCAUGGACUUGCGACUUUACGUGGAACGGCUAAGGGAACACAUGUUCAUGGCACACUCCAGACUCGCCCCACCGCAUCCUCGUGACAGGUCAGCUUCUCUCUGCACGCAGAUCUGUGAUUCGGGGCUAUUACAAGAUACUGACUACAGUUCCCUGAUUGCAUCUGUCCCUGGGCCUCUGCAGUACAGUUACUGUCACAGUGAUGCUGUAUCGCACGUGCAUUAAUGUGGAAAUUCUGCCUGCAGCACAGGUAGCAGUUCACAACUGAGGACCAGAGACAGCUUCUUCCUUACCUCGCCAGUCUCACUGCUCAGCGUGGAAACCGAGAAACAAAAUUCUAACAUGAAUUAUCUAAAUUAACUAAAGUCAAGCAUGAAUCGCUAGGUCAUGCCAGCA